UGAAACAAGAAAGUGGAGACAACGUUUUGGCUCCUCUCUGAGCCUUUAUCGGCUUGAUAAAGGCUCAAAGAGGAGCCAAAACGUUGUCUCCACUUCCUUGUUUC